rnacentral:rRNA from 1 species
UCUAAUGAGACUGCCGGUGACAAACCGGAGGAAGUGGGGAUGACGUCAAGUCCUCAUGGCCCUUAUAGGUGGGGCUACACACGUCAUACAAUGGGAUGGUACAAAGGGUCGCCAACCCGCGAGGGGGAGCCAAUCCCAUAAAGCCAUUCGUAGUCCGGAUCGCAGUCUGCAACUCGACUGCGUGAGGUUGGAAUCGCUAGUAAUCGUGGAUCAGAAUGUCACGGUGAAUACGUUCCCGGGUCUU